rnacentral:tRNA from 1 species
GUAAAAUUAGUUUAUUAAAAUACUAAAUUGUGGAUUUAGUGAAAAACUAUUUGUUUAUUUUACU